GAUAUGAUUGAUUUCUAGGACAUACAUCUAAUAAUCAGAACCCACGACUAAUAACCCUAAGCAUGGGAUAGUAGGUAACACAACAACCUAUCAGAUCGUGGCGCUACAAACUUACAUGGCCUCCAGUAGCCCAUCAAAUCGUGGCCUAGUAGGCCCUUGCGACCUACACGACUCCGGUACAGCAAUCUACGACUCUAACUCUAUAUAAAAAGAUAAAAAAGAGGACCUUAGAUAAAGCCGAGAGAGGUAAUGUUAUAGCCCAAAACCCAUUUCAGCCCAGC
rnacentral:lncRNA from 1 species